rnacentral:rRNA from 1 species
UACGGAGGAGGCAAGCGUUAUCCGGAAUUAUUGGGCGUAAAGCGUCCGUAGGUGGUUUAGUAAGUCUGCUGUUAAAGCGCGGGGCUUAACUCCGUAUCGGCAGUGGAAACUACUAGACUAGAGUGUGGUAGGGGUAGAGGGAAUUCCCAGUGUAGCGGUGAAAUGCGUAGAUAUUGGGAAGAACACCGGUGGCGAAGGCGCGCUACUGGGCCAUAACUGACACUGAUGGACGAAAGCUAGGGGAGCGAAAGGG